rnacentral:rRNA from 1 species
GGGUUGUGAGGUUAAGCGACUAAGCGUACACGGUGGAUGCCCUGGCAGUCAGAGGCGAUGAAGGACGUGCUAAUCUGCGAUAAGCGUCGGUAAGGUGAUAUGAACCGUUAUAACCGGCGAUUUCCGAAUGGGGAAACCCAGUGUGUUUCGACACACUAUCAUUAACUGAAUCCAUAGGUUAAUGAGGCGAACCGGGGGAACUGAAACAUCUAAGUACCCCGAGGAAAAGAAAUCAACCGAGAUUCCCCCAGUAGCGGCGAGCGAACGGGGAGCAGCCCAGAGCCUGAAUCAGUGUGUGUGUUAGUGGAAGCGUCUGGAAAGGCGCGCGAUACAGGGUGACAGCCCCGUACACAAAAAUGCACAUACUGUGAGCUCGAUGAGUAGGGCGGGACACGUGGUAUCCUGUCUGAAUAUGGGGGGACCAUCCUCCAAGGCUAAAUACUCCUGACUGACCGAUAGUGAACCAGUACCGUGAGGGAAAGGCGAAAAGAACCCCGGCGAGGGGAGUGAAAAAGAACCUGAAACCGUGUACGUACAAGCAGUGGGAGCACGCUUCGGCGUGUGACUGCGUACCUUUUGUAUAAUGGGUCAGCGACUUAUAUUCUGUAGCAAGGUUAACCGAAUAGGGGAGCCGAAGGGAAACCGAGUCUUAACUGGGCGUUAAGUUGCAGGGUAUAGACCCGAAACCCGGUGAUCUAGCCAUGGGCAGGUUGAAGGUUGGGUAACACUAACUGGAGGACCGAACCGACUAAUGUUGAAAAAUUAGCGGAUGACUUGUGGCUGGGGGUGAAAGGCCAAUCAAACCGGGAGAUAGCUGGUUCUCCCCGAAAGCUAUUUAGGUAGCGCCU